rnacentral:misc_RNA from 1 species
GUCAAAAUGGUCCUCCUAACUUCUCUCAGAAGAGCCAAUGCACUGAGGAUUUCUAGUAAGUAUAGCUUUAGAUCAUCCGAGCAAGUAUUCAACAAAUUGAGAAUGAUUUCCAGCCCACCAUGUCUAACUACAAUCUCACGGUUAUGAGCAGCAAACGUGACACUAUUUCUAAGGCAUUUCAAUAAAACCCUUCGCAAACUCCCAUCAGCAUGCAAUAAUAAACUCAAAAGAGAAGGGAUGGCACCUGAUUCACCAAUAAGUACAGCCAAUCUACCUUCCCCUCG